AUUGAACGCUGGCGGCAGGCCUAACACAUGCAAGUCGAGCGGAUGAAGGGAGCUUGCUCCUGGAUUCAGCGGCGGACGGGUGAGUAAUGCCUAGGAAUCUGCCUGGCAGUGGGGGAUAACGUCCGGACACGGGCGCUAAUACCGCAUACGUCCUUAGGGAGAAAGUGGGGGAUCUUCGGACCUCACGCUAUCAGAUGAGCCUAGGUCGGAUUAGCUAGUUGGUGGGGUAAAGGCCUACCAAGGCGACGAUCCGUAGCUGGUCUGAGAGGAUGAUCAGUCACACUGGAACUGAGACACGGUCCAGACUCCUACGGGAGGCAGCAGUGGGGAAUAUUGGACAAUGGGCGAAAGCCUGAUCCAGCCAUGCCGCGUGUGUGAAGAAGGUCUUCGGAUUGUAAAGCACUUUAAGUUGGGAGGAAGGGCAGUAAGUUAAUACCUUGCUGUUUUGACGGUACCAACAGAAUAAGCACCGGCUAACUUCGUG
rnacentral:rRNA from 1 species